rnacentral:rRNA from 2 species
UGGGGAAUAUUGCACAAUGGAGGGAACUCUGAUGCAGCGACGCCGCGUGAACGAAGAAGGCUUUCGAGUCGUAAAGUUCUUUUAUAUGGGAAGAUAAUGACGGUACCAUAAGAAAAAGCCCCGGCUAACUACGUGCCAGCAGCCGCGAUAAUACGUAGGGGGCUAGCGUUGUCCGGAAUCACUGGGCGUAAAGGGUUCGCAGGCGGAAAUGCAAGUCAGGUGUAAAAGGCAGUAGCUUAACUACUGUAAGCAUUUGAAACUGCAUAUCUUGAGAAGAGUAGAGGUAAGUGGAAUUUUUAGUGUAGCGGUGAAAUGCGUAGAUAUUAAAAAGAAUACCGGUGGCGAAGGCGACUUACUGGGCUCAUUCUGACGCUGAGGAACGAAAGCGUGGGUAGCAAACAGG